GCACUGCAACGUUUGGAGAAGCGGAGAGUAGGCAGGCGCGCGCACACGCACACCCACGCACGAUCCCCGUGUCACGUAUACAGACAGCUACAGAGCAACGGUCGCACGACGCUUCUAUCGUUUGCAAAUUACGAACAACUCACGCCACCACGAUGACGUCGCUAUGUGUGAUGCUGGUUGCCUGCUGUCUGACGCUGGCAGUACUGCCGCAGCACACGACCUACGCAGACGACAGGAUGGGAUGCUGCAUGGCCGGCUGGAAAAGCGUCAAGGGUGUCCCGCUCUGCAACGCCCCCUGCUGUCCCGGAUACAGCGAGAGAGUGACGUCAUCUUCCGGAUUGGCCCCGAUCGUUUAUUGCAAAUCCGACAGGCAAUGAGAAAGCCGGAUGCGGGUCGAGCGCUUUCUGAUCGUGUCCGGAUGUGAGUGACGUCAUACCUCAGCAGACGAUUCAGAGUAUUCGCGGAUUGGACAUCAUCAUCAUCAUCAUCAUUAUCGAUGAAAGCGUCAGUGGUUACUUACUGCACGCGAUCAAGGGCGCGACAGAGAGAUGAUGGAAAACUCUUAAAUGGGGAAUUUUUUUUUUCGAAAAUUAAUAAUUCGUCGUAGUUUCACGUUAGUAAAAAUAGUAUCACUGUCGACAGCUUCAUACGGUGUAGUUACCGGCACUAGAUCACGCGUACCCAACCGCAUGUCGAAGUACUUAUAGUGAUUUGCAUUCAAUCGAUAACACGCCGUGCAAUUGAAUAUUUGGCAUAGUCAGCGUCUCUCGUAACGUCUACAUCCGGUUAUUAUAUCGCUCAUAACGCAUACUUCCGGUUCUUAUAACUUUAUAUACGUGGUGCAGAUAGUGCGCGUAUUCGAUUUUGUAAUUAUUUUCUGGUCCUACGUGUAUUGCAUUUAACUAUUCAUCAUUUAUUUAUGUCGAUUAGGAAAAAAACACACUCGUUAAACGCGAUAUUUCUUGUGGUAUUGAUCAUUCUGGUAGUAAUUUAGUCCAUACUGGGUGUUGUAAGCUGAGAUGUUGCAUGCAACCACGAAGGCACCGGUUAAUUUUCAUAUACGCGUUCACUUAUCAACAUAACAACAUCAUGACCUCAGUAUAGACUGGUUCCCUGUCUCGUUACGUCGGUGAUAAAUCUACUAUGAAGAACGAGUGCGAAAUAUUCCCGCACGAUUAACAAAGUGAAAAGUAGGGAACCAGUCUAUGCGGUCACGUGGUUGCUGUAGCACACUAUCGUCAACAUUCGGCCGAUCAAUUUGUAUUUGAUUAGAAUAUUUUCUUUAACUGGACGUACAACAGGAAGCGCUUUCCUUGCUUUUCGUCGUAGCUAUAAUAAGGCAGCUGCUGGUUAAUUCGUGAUUAUAUUUAAUCAAAAUUAAUUACGGGUCUCUGAAUAAAACAUCACCAAUCAUAGUGGACGGAUGAUGACUGAUGUACCCUCUCUGCUGUGUCAAUAUAAUUCAAAAUGUCAAUAAAACUCUGCAUCAAUC
rnacentral:lncRNA from 1 species